AUUCUUUUAGUAUCAAAAAGUACGCCUGACUUCCAAUCAGCCGGUUCCGGAACACCCCGGAAAAGAAUA
rnacentral:tRNA from 1 species